rnacentral:rRNA from 1 species
GACAGAGGGGGCAAGCGUUGUCCGGACUAACUGGGCGUAAAGCGCGCGCAGGCGGCAAGGUAAGUAAGGUGUGAAAUCUGUCGGCUCAACCGGGAGGGUGCACUUUAGACUGCUUUGCUUGAGGUCGGUAGAGGGGGGUGGAAUUGCUGGUGUAGCGGUGAAAUGCGUAGAGAUCAGCAGGAACACCCGUGGCGAAGGCGGCCCCCUGGGCCGUACCUGACGCUGAGGCGCGAAGGCUAGGGGAGCGAACGGG